rnacentral:rRNA from 1 species
UGGCAGUGGCCGCUGCCUAAUACAUGCAAGUCGAGCGGAACCUUUGGAGCUUGCUCCAUUGGUUCAGCGGCGGACGGGUGAGUAACACGUGGGCAACCUGCCCUGCAGAUCGGGAUAACUCCGGGAAACCGGUGCUAAUACCGAAUAGUUUGCGGCCUCUCCUGAGGCUGCACGGAAAGACGGUUUCGGCUGUCACUGCAGGAUGGGCCCGCGGCGCAUUAGCUAGUUGGUGGGGUAAUGGCCCACCAAGGCGACGAUGCGUAGCCGACCUGAGAGGGUGAUCGGCCACACUGGGACUGAGACACGGCCCAGACUCCUACGGGAGGCAGCAGUAGGGAAUCUUCCGCAAUGGACGAAAGUCUGACGGAGCAAUGCCGCGUGAGUGACGAAGGUUUUCGGAUCGUAAAACUCUGUUGUGAGGGAAGAACAAGUACCAUUUAACUGAUGGUACCUUGACGGUACCUCACCAGAAAGCCACGGCUAACUACGUGCCAGCAGCCGCGGUAAUACGUAGGUGGCAAGCGUUGUCCGGAAUUAUUGGGCGUAAAGCGCGCGCAGGCGGUCCCUUAAGUCUGAUGUGAAAGCCCACGGCUCAACCGUGGAGGGUCAUUGGAAACUGGGGGACUUGAGUGCAGAAGAGGAAAGUGGAAUUCCAUGUGUAGCGGUGAAAUGCGUAGAGAUGUGGAGGAACACCAGUGGCGAAGGCGGACUUUCUGGUCUGUAACUGACGCUGAGGCGCCAAAGCGUGGGGAGCAAACAGGAUUAGAAUACCCCUGGUAGUCCCGCCGUAAACCAUGAGUGCUAAGUGUUAGGGGGUUUCCGCCCCCUUAUGCUGCAGCUAACGCAUUAGCACUUCGCCUGGGGAAUACCGGCCGCAGGGUUGAAACUCA